rnacentral:tmRNA from 1 species
GGGGCUGAUCGGUUUCGACGGUGACCUGUUCGUCGCAGGGAAGCGUGCCGAGAACGUAGGGUCCGCUCGUGGAUGACCCCUACACAAGAAUAAGUGCUAAAUCUAACCGCACUGAGUUCGCUCUCGCUGCCUGAGCUUCGCGCCAGGAUUAACCAGUGAGCAGCCGCUCCGUUCACUCCUUCUCGUCUUUGGGAGGAUGCUGAGCGUCGUUGAGAAGACUUGCUUCAUCGGCUGAGUCACAGGGCCGGUGAGGGACUUUAACUGCGAAUAUGCUCGCCAUCAGUUGUCUGCGAUAUCGAUGGGGGGGCAGAAAAACCGCCGCAUGGCCAGCAGACUACGCACGUAGAAGACUGAGGGUUCGGUUAUCGGACCGGGGUUCGAUUCCCCGCAGCUCCACCA